UGGCAUUUGCUAGUAACAGUUGAAAAAGUGCAGUUGAAAAGUGAAGUUAAUAAAAAACAACAAUCUAACAAAUGUUAAAGAAAGAAAAAUAAAAUAUAAAAGCGAAAUAAAACCAUUUUUAAUUGCAAGAAAACAAAGAAAAAUCUCUAUUGUAGAAAAAAAUAAUAGUGGCAAUUUUUCUAAAGAAUAAAAAGUUUGGAAAUAUAUAUUUUUCUGCAGUCAAUUCUGAAUAAAACCAAAUAAAAAAGUGUGAGCAAGAAAUCUUGUACCUAAAAGUGUCUAUCUUGAAAUUAUUUUGAAAAUAAUUUUUGUGUGUAGAGUAUGUCAUCAUCCAACAUAAUGUCGUCCACCACGUCCUCGUCAUCAUCAACUUCCUGCAAAGGAUAUGAAAUGAAUUUUAAUCAGGAUUUUACGUCAAUUUCGGUUCUUAGCCAUAAUGGAUUUCGCCUUUACUCAAUCAAUGCCAGCGAUAAAAUCGAUGAAAUCUUUGCCAAGGAAAACAAUGAACAAAUACGCAUAGUGGAGCGUCUCUUCAAUAGCUCUCUGGUGGUGCUGGUCACCCAUCAAAAGCCCAAUUGUCUGAAAAUGUUACACUUCAAAAAGAAACAGGAUAUCUGCAAUUGUGUUUAUCCCUCGGACAUAUUGUGUGUGCGUAUGAAUCGCUACCGUCUGGUGGUGUGUCUGGCAGAGAGCAUACACAUCCAUGAUAUACGUGAUAUGAAAAUCUUACAUUCCAUUGAGAAUAUUGCCCCCAAUGAAUUGGGCCUGUGCUCGUUGUCGUUAAACUCACAUUUGGCAUUCCCCAUAUGCACCACCAGUGGUGAGCUGAGAAUCUUCAAUGCCAAUAAGCUGAAGACGGGGCUGACAAUCAAGGCUCAUGAUACGGCACUCUCGGCCAUGGCAUUUUCGCCUAGCGGUACACUGUUGGCUACAGCCUCAGAGCGUGGAACUGUGAUACGGGUAUUCUGUGUUAAAAAUGGUCAAAAGGUUCAGGAGUUUCGGCGGGGUGUCAAACGUUGUGUACGCAUAGCUUCAUUGGUGUUCUCGACGACGGGCGAUUUUCUGUGUGCCUCAUCGAAUACGGAAACUGUGCAUAUCUUUAGGAUUGACAGCAAAGCUGUGGAGACGGCAGAGAGAAAAGCGACAAUAGAAGACGUUAAGAAGACUUCCACAGCGCCGUCAUCAGGAUCAUCAGUAUCAGCGGCUGCCAAUGGCGCCACUGCAUCAACAAAUGGCACAGCCACUUCUUCCUCUUCCUCAAACACCAACGCCACCACACCUGCCGCCUCAAAUGCAAAUACAGAAAAUUCCUCUACGACUCCCUCCAAUCAACAACAACCUGCCUCUACUACCACCACCACAACAACAUCGAAUGGUUCAGCUUCCUCCACCUCGAAUUCAUGGUCUAUGAGUGGUUAUCUAUCCAAGGCUAUGUCUUCAUAUCUGUUACCUUCUCAGAUAGGUGAUGUUCUAAGUCAAGAUCGUGCUUUUGCCACUGCGGUACUGGGUCAGCCGGGUCUCAAGCAUGUCUGUGGUUUGGCCAAGAUACAAAAGGAGUUACGCCUGCUAUUGGCAUGUGAAGAUGGUUUCCUAUACAUACAUGAUUUCAACAGUGAAAAGGGGGGUCCUUGUAAACUACUGCAUGUGCAUGAUUUGCGUUAUACCCUGGAAGGGGUGAUAGAACUGAAUCUCUCUGAUAGCAUGGAUAAAAUUUCCUUAUCCGGCAAUAUGCCCUCUACGCCCACCACCAAUCCCUCAUCGGGUUUCUCUGUGGAUGCCAAGGACCCUUCACCCAAUUCCAAGGAUUCUUCCUCAUCUUCGCCUCACAGUAAAUCAAGUUCCCUGAGCAGUGUCAGCGUUAUCAUAGAAAAUCCUGAUCCUUCUUCGGAUAAUUCUUAUGCCAGCAUUCUGAGAGGCUCUGAACAGGGCUUGAAUACGUUGACAGGUAUUAAGGCGUAAUUUUUUCCGUUUACAUUCUAUAUAUUCGUAUGCUAUGAUACAAAAUGGGUCAGUAUAGGAUUUGGGUGUGCUUUAAAACAAAAUAGAUUCGGCAAAAUUUCGAAAACUCUGCGAUGCCAUUGACACACCUACUAAGCUGUAUGAUGAACGACAAUUUCCUCCUGUAGCCAUA